rnacentral:lncRNA from 1 species
CGAUUUGAUCGUCGAGGUUUCACGCCAUUUUGAGGUUCAGAAAGGUAACAAGUCUUUUUCCUUAGUCAUUUGGCAUGAUUUUGGUUGAAGUUUAACGUGAGAAAACCCCAGAAAAUCGAAUCCCCAAGUUGGUCACUAUUCAUCAACUUUUAAAUGGAGGGUUUUCUUUGAAUUUCAGGGCUAUAGUGAGCUUUAGAACGUCCGCAUGAUGCUCGGAGUGCAACGUUGAGGUAUUUUGGACGUCGGGGAGCCAUAGAACGAAGUUUCACUUUUUGCCGAAUUAUCGUGCUUCCCCAGGUAAAAUCUAGUGAAUUUUAGACCUUGAAACUAGUCCAUCGUGAUUCUACAUGUUGAGGGCUUCAAAUUGAUAUAAAAUUCGAAGAAAACGGUUGAGAAACGAAGGAGAACAAGCAAUUACAAAAUUCGCCGGAAUCCGGCCACCGGAAAAACCAGUCCGGUGACUGGCUGAGGAAGAAGACGCACGUGGGGGCGUGUAGGUCCGUGCCACCCACGGCGCGUGAGGGCACGUGGCAAGCCUAAAAAUUUUUCUAAAAAUUCUUAACAUCCGUGACGUCGAGUAGGUCGAUGUGGUAUAUUCAUAUACCCAAAUUGAGCAUCGUAUGAGAAGUUAUUUCGAAUUGUUGGUUAUGUGUUUAAAUUAACGUUUUUAUAGUUGUUUCGCAUAUAGGUGACACCUAUCCCUAGAACGAGCUCAUCCAGGGACGUCACGGGGGUUACGACCCAUCGACUUAUCAGUGAGUGGGCAGUUUUGUUUUCGUAUUACCUAUAUACUACUGUUUUCCCAGAAAAUGCAACUAUAUGAAAAUAUGUUUUAAAAUGCCAUGCAUGCAAUCAAUGAGAUAUUUGAAUUGAUAAUUGAUGCAUAUAUAUGUGAAUUGACGUUGUUGACGCACAUGUGAGUUUUUACAUUAUUCAUACGAUUUAUUUUAUGUGAAUUGCAUUGGAAGCUCAUAACCUACACCCUAGUUGUUAGUGCAUAUAUUAUUCACCACACCGCACGCUCGCCUUGGAUCCAAGUAGGUGGAUGUCGUACAGACCACUAGAGGUGGUUCCGACAUGCCAGUUGUACAGACCAUUAGAGGGGUUCCGACUGGUAGGUGACCUUAGAUUAUGUGCAUAGAUGAUUGAUGAGAAAAGCACUAGAGCAUAUUAUUUCACCAUCUUAGUCGUACAGACUACUAUAGGUAGUUCCGACUUAUGUGCAGUGUAGUGCUGUACAGGUCACAGUUGGUGACUCCGGCUGGAUGGGAUAUUGAGCUAUAGAAUCAGCCGUACAGGACCACUGUAGGGUCUCCGGUUGAUUUAUUAAUUCGCCUGAUUUAUAUUGAUGCUUUCAUAUUAUAUUUUGGCAUAUGGCAUGGCAUGGUAUAUUCUUCUGAAAAGCGUUGAAGGAUUGUGAUUUGAGCUUUUGAUGAUAUAUAUAUGUUUAUAUAUAUAUAUAUUUUUUUUCUGGGAAAGUAUACAGGUUUUACGGCGAGGGGUUAGAAAUGUUUUAAAUGAAAGAUUUUCGAAAAGCUUUGUUUUGCUGACCCACUCAAUUUUGUUUUGCGCCCCUCCAGGUUCAAGUUAGCAGAGCUUUGGUGGCCACGAGGAAUCCAACGGUGUUCUGACAGAAUUCACAAAAGUUGGAUUCACCCUCGGGUGUUAUAUCUUAGUAAUUGUAUUCUUUAAAGCUUCCGAACUGUGUAAAUGGUUACGUCACUCUCACGUGACGGCCAGCAUGCCCUCCUUCGGGACGGGGUGUGUCAGUUGGUAUCAGAGCCUAGGUUACAAUUUUGGACAUCUUUAGAAUUUCGUAGUGUCUUCUGUCAGAACUAUACCGCCUCGUAGCGAGCCACGUAGUUCGUAUGUUGUUGCUAAUCCGAUCGAGGCGUAUAUAUGUAUUUCCCUGUGACGAGUAAAAUGAUAAUAUUGCACCCUUAAGAAUUGUUGCUUACUUAUCGAGACGACAAUGAGUUAUCGUUAUUGCAGGCUGCAGACCGUAAUAUCCAUAACUUAUUUGUUGGAUUCGUUAGGCAGGUAAACAUGUAGGUCAUUCUAUGUCGGUUAUGAUUAUUCAGGGUGUCCAGUGAUGGUGGAAGAAGUAGUUAUGCCAGCGAGUCUUAUCCCGUUAGACAUUGUGGAUUUUGAUGUGAUUUUAGGCACAGAUUGGUUGCAUUAUAAUCGUGCCAAUAUGGAUUACUACGGGAAAUCAGUUACUUUCCAUUGUCUUGGAAUAUCGGAGGCACUUUUGUGAGUGAGCAAAGUGUAGUGAGGCAUGCUGUUAUUUCUGUGGUGAGAGUAAAGAAAUUGUUAUCAAAAGGUUGCCAAGGAUACCUAGCUCAUGUGGUGUUGUGGGAUCGUACUCCUAGUAUUGUGGAUGACGUACGAGUGGUAGACAUUUUCCAAAUGUGUUCCAGAUGAUUUACCUGGAUUGCCGCCAGACAGAGAUGUGAAGUUUACUAUUGAUUUGCUUCCAGGUAAGAUCUUAUAUCUUUAUUUCCAUAUAGAAUGGCUCCAGCUGAGUUGAGAGAAUUGAAAAUUCAGUUACAAGAAUUACUUGAUAAAUGUUUCAUUCAACCUAGUUCGUCACCUUGGGGAGCUCCAGUAUUAUUUGUGAGAAAGAAAGAUGGAACUCUGAGAUUAUGCAUUGCUUAUAGGCAAUUGAACUGGGUAACGAUUAAAAACCGUUAUCCAUUGCCUCGCAUCGAUGAUUUGUUUGAUCAGCUGAAAAGUGCGUGUGUAUUCUCUAAGAUUGAUUUGAGAUCUGGUUAUUAUCAGUUGAAGAUUAAAGAUGAAGAUGUACCUAAGACGGCUUUCAAAACCCGUUAUGGACAUUAUGAAUUUCUGGUGAUGCCAUUUGGGUUGACUAAUGCGCCUGCAGCUUUCAUGAGGCUAAUGAACGAAGUAUUCCAGCAAUAUCUUGAUAAAUUUGUUAUUGUUUUUAUUGAUGAUAUUCUGGUAUACUCUAAAUCUAAAGCAGAUCACAUCCGACAUCUUAACUUGGUAUUAAAGAAAUUGAGGGAACAUCAGUUGUAUGCCAAGUUCAGUAAAUGUCAGUUUUGGUUGACUGAAAUGGCAUUUUUGGGGCAUGUUGUAUCAACACAAGGAAUUCAAGUAGAUCCUCAAAAGAUAGCAGCAAUGGAGAAUUGGGAACAACCUCGAACCGUCACUGAGGUACGAAGUUUUCUUGGUUUGGCAGGUUAUUAUCGACGGUUUGUUCAGGAUUUUUCUAUGAUUGCUUUGCCGUUAACGAAGUUGACCAGGAAGGAUGUUAAAUUCGAGUGGGAUGAGAAUUGUGAGCGGAGUUUCCAGCAAUUGAAAUAUUGCCUCACUCAUGCUCCAGUAUUGGUACUUCCUGAUGAUAGCGGUAAUUUUGAGAUUUACAGUGAUGCUUCCUUGAAUGGUUUGGGAUGUGUUUUGAUGCAGCAUAAUAAAGUGAUUGCCUAUGCUUCUCGACAGUUGAAGAAUCAUGAAAGGAAUUAUCCUACUCACGAUCUUGAAUUGGCAGCCAUUGUCUUUGCUUUGAAGAUUUGGAGGCAUUAUCUAUAUGGUGAGAAGUGUAAGAUCUUCACUGAUCACAAGAGUCUUCAGUAUCUAUUUACUCAGCAUGAUUUUAAUCUUCGUCAGUGAAGGUGGAUGGAAUUAUUAAGUGAUUAUGACUGCACUAUUGAGUAUCAUCCGGGUCGUGCUAAUGUAGUAGCUUAUGCUCUGAGUAAGAAACCUCAAGGUCGACUCAAUGCUUUAUAUGCUUGUCGUGUUCCCCUUCUUGCAGAACUGAGGGCAACUGGAGUAAAGUUGGAGUUGGAAGAUCGAAGCGAAGCUUUUCUUGCUAGUUUUCAAGUCAGGCCAGUUUUGGUUGAUCGUGUACUCAAAGCUCAGUUGGUUGAUGAGGAGAUUCAAGAAUUGAUUCAAUUGAGAUGUGAAGGGAAAAAGAAAGACCUCAGGAUUCGGGAAUCAGAUGGCACGCUUAUGCAAGAGAACAUGAUGUAUGUGCCGAAUAACGAGGAACUAAAGAAAGAAAUUUUGUAUGAAGCACAUUGUUCGGCUUAUGCGAUACACCCAGGAGGAACCAAGAUGUAUCAUACCAUUCGUCCAUUUUAUUAUUAGCCGGGUAUGAAGAGGGAGAUUGCUGAGUACGUAAGUAGGUGUAUUGUUUGCCAACAAGUCAAAGCAGAAAGGAAGAAGCCUUUUGGUCGGAUGCAGCCACUUCCCGUCCCUCAGUGGAAAUGAGAAGAUAUGUCUAUGGAUUUUGUGUAUAAGCUUCCCCGUACUCAGAAUGGAUUCGAUGGCGUUUGGGUGAUUGUAGAUUGACUUACCAAGUCAGCACACUUCAUUCCAGUGAGAGAGAAGUACCCUUUGAAUAAAUUAGCUAAGUUGUUCAUCACGAAGAUUGUGAAGUAUCAUGGAGUUCCAGUGAAUAUUAUUUCUGAUCGAGAUCCAAGAUUUACUUCUAAGUUUUGGAUAGCUUUCCAGGAAGCUCUUGGUACGAAAUUGCUUUACAGUACUGCUUAUCAUCCUCAGACAGAUGGACAAUCAGAGAGGACUAUUCAGACGUUGGAGGAUAUGUUGAGAUCUUCAGUGUUGCGGUUUGGUGAUUCUUGGCAUGAUCGCAUAGAUUGAUGGAAUUUUCCUACAACAAUAGUUUUCAUUCGAGCAUCGGUAUGUCACCAUUUGAGGCACUUUAUGGUAGGGCGUGUCGUACGCCAUUGUGUUGGUCUGAGGUUGGUGAAAGAGUGUUAGAGGCCCAGAGACUGUGGAUGAGACUACUCAAAAUAUUCAGGUGAUUAAGUCCAACCUGAAAGCAGCCCAGGAUCGACAAAAGAGUUUAGCGGAUCGACAUGCUACUGAUCGAGUGUAUGAUGUGGGUGAUUUGGUAUUUUUGAAAUUGUCACCUUGGAGAGGUGUGGUACGAUUUGGAAAAAGAGGAAAGUUAAGUCCUAGGUACAUAGGACCCUAUGAGAUCACCGAGAGGAUUGGUGAAGUUGCCUACAGGUUGGAGUUGCCUCCGGAGUUAUCUAAAGUUCAUAAUGUGUUUCAUGUCUCUAUGCUUCGACAUUAUAUUUCUGAUCCUUCACAUGUGAUCCCUCCUCAACCGCUAGAGAUUAAUCCAGAUUUGAUGUAUGAUGAGGAACCAGUGACUAUCUUGGAUUGGAAAGAUAAGGUUCUAAGGAAUAAGACGGUGAGCUUGGUGAAGGUGUUGUGGAGGAACCAUUCGGCAGAAGAAGCUACCUGGGAGACAGAGGAUCGAAUGAGAGAGAUGUACCCAAGGUUAUUUUAUGGAUAUUAAGUGAAUUGUUGGUUGUAUGAAUUUCGGGGACGAAAUUCUAUAAGGAAGGGAGAUUGUCACAGCCCGUCCCGAGAUUUUUAUAUCGGGAACCGUGAAAUGACGGGAUUACCCUUGACGGGUAUUAAGGUAUGUGUGUAUGUGACAUUAUUUAGACUUAAACUUUAUAAAUUUUGGAAUUAUCUUAUGUUGGAUUGUUUGUGUGGUUAGGGAACUAAGAUGAGAAUGGAUGGUGAGGAUUGAUAUUGGACCACACAUACAAGCCCUCCUUCCUUUUCCCUUCCCCAUGUCUCUCUCUCUCCUCCCUUCGAACUCUCCCUUUCUCUGCAAAUCGUAUGGACGUAGUCCGUUGACCCCCAUUCCUUCACGGAUCAAGCUCCUAAGACCCCCCAUCAUAUUUCUUGCAAGAAUACGAAUUAAACCAUACCCUUGGUUGGUUGAAUUAUCUUUGAUAAACCCAGAAACCACGAGGGUUCCGUCGAAGCACUGUAGCACCGAUUUGAUCGUCGAGGUUUCACGCCAUUUUGAGGUUCAGAAAGGUAACAAGUCUCUUUCCUUAGUCAUUUGGCAUGAUUUUGGUUAAAGUUUAACGUGAGAAAACCCCGGAAAAUCGAAUCCCCGAGUUAGUCACUAUUCAUCAACUUUUAAACGGAGGGUUUUCUUUGAAUUUCAGGGCUAUAAUGAGCUUUAGAAUGUCCUCAUGAUGCUCGGAGUGCAACGUUGAGGUAUUUUGGACGUCAGGGAGCCAUAGAACGAAGUUUCACUUUUUGCCGAAUUAUCGUGCUUCCCCAGGUAAAAUCUAGUGAAUUUUAGACCUUGAAACUAGUCCAUCGUGAUUCUACAUGUUGAGGGCU